UACGAACUGUGCGAACGUUAUUCGGAAUCACUGGGCUUACAGGGUGCGUAGGCGGCUUGUUAAGUAGGGUGUGAAAGCCCCCGGCUCAACCGGGGAAUUGCGCCCUAAACUGGCGAGCUGGAGUGAGAUAGGGGUGUGUGGAACUUCCGGUGGAGCGGUGAAAUGUGUUGAUAUCGGAAGGAACACCGGUGGCGAAAGCGGCUUCCUGGGCCAGCACCGACGUUCAGGCACGAAAGCGUGGGGAGCAAACAGG
rnacentral:rRNA from 1 species